rnacentral:rRNA from 1 species
GAUGAACGCUGGCGGCGUGCCUAAUACAUGCAAGUCGAGCGAACGGACGAGGAGCUUGCUCUUCUGAUGUUAGCGGCGGACGGGUGAGUAACACGUGGAUAACCUACCUAUAAGACUGGGAUAACUUCGGGAAACCGGAGCUAAUACCGGAUAAUAUUUUGAACCGCAUGGUUCAAUAGUGAAAGACGGUCUUGCUGUCACUUAUAGAUGGAUCCGCGCUGCAUUAGCUAGUUGGUAAGGUAACGGCUUACCAAGGCAACGAUGCAUAGCCGACCUGAGAGGGUGAUCGGCCACACUGGAACUGAGACACGGUCCAGACUCCUACGGGAGGCAGCAGUAGGGAAUCUUCCGCAAUGGGCGAAAGCUUGACGGAGCAACGCCGCGUGAGUGAUGAAGGUCUUCGGAUCGUAAAACUCUGUUAUUAGGGAAGAACAUAUGUGUAAGUAACUGUGCACGUCUUGACGGUACCUAAUCAGAAAGCCACGGCUAACUACGUG